rnacentral:lncRNA from 1 species
CCAAAAACUGCAUUUUACCCCUAUGUUCUAUUUUUAGCCGUGGCGGCCAUCUAGGUUGGUUGACCGGAUCACGCCACACAUUUUUUAAACUAGAUACCCCAAUGAUGAUUGUGGCCAAGUUUGGUUCAAUUUGGCCUAGUAGUUUCAGAGGAGAAGAUUUUUGUAAAAGUUAACGACAACGGACGACGACGGACGACGGACGCCAAGUGAUGAAGAAAGCUCACUUGGCCCUAUGGGCCAGGUGAGCUAAAAA